rnacentral:rRNA from 1 species
CCUACGGGGUGCAGCAGUGGGGAAUAUUGGACAAUGGGCGAAAGCCUGAUCCAGCCAUGCCGCGUGUGUGAAGAAGGCCUUCGGGUUGUAAAGCACUUUCAGUGGGGAAGAAAGCCUUGGGGCUAAUACCCUCGAGGAAGGACAUCACCCACAGAAGAAGCACCGGCUAACUCCGUGCCAGCAGCCGCGGUAAUACGGAGGGUGCGAGCGUUAAUCGGAAUUACUGGGCGUAAAGCGCGCGUAGGCGGUCUGAUAAGCCGGUUGUGAAAGCCCCGGGCUCAACCUGGGAACGGCAUCCGGAACUGUCAGGCUAGAGUGCAGGCGAGGAAGGUAGAAUUCCCGGUGUAGCGGUGAAAUGCGUAGAGAUCGGGAGGAAUACCAGUGGCGAAGGCGGCCUUCUGGACUGACACUGACGCUGAGGUGCGAAAGCGUGGGUAGCAAACAGGAUUAGAUACCCGAGUAGUC